rnacentral:rRNA from 1 species
GACGAACGCUGGCGGCGUGCCUAAUACAUGCAAGUCGAGCGCAGGAAACUGACGGAACUCUUCGGAGGGAAGGCAGUGGAAUGAGCGGCGGACGGGUGAGUAACACGUAAGGAACCUGCCUCAAGGAUUGGGAUAACUCCGAGAAAUCGGAGCUAAUACCGGAUAGUUCAACGGACCGCAUGGUCCGCUGAUGAAAGGCGCUCCGGCGUCACCUUGAGAUGGCCUUGCGGUGCAUUAGCUAGUUGGUGGGGUAACGGCCCACCAAGGCGACGAUGCAUAGCCGACCUGAGAGGGGGAUCGGCCACACUGGGACUGAGACACGGCCCAGACUCCUACGGGAGGCAGCAGUAGGGAAUCUUCCACAAUGGACGAAAGUCUGAUGGAGCAACGCCGCGUGAGUGAUGAAGGUUUUCGGAUCGUAAAACUCUGUUGUAAGGGAAGAACACGUACGAGAGGAAAUGCUCGUACCUUGACGGUACCAUACCAGAGAGGGACGGCUAAAUACGUGCCAGCAGCCGCAGUAA